rnacentral:tRNA from 1 species
GGAGGGGUAUCGAAGUGGUCAUAACGAGGCUGACUCGAAAUCAGUUUGCCGGCAACGGCACGCGGGUUCGAAUCCCGCCCCCUCCGCCA